AUCAUCGUUUUAAUUUUUCGAUAAAUAGUAAUAAGUUUAAUAGUUUCUUGCCCUGAUGGGAAAUUAAAGAAAAUGUUUUCCAAGUGUUACCAUUUAUAAAUAUUCAUCGUAAUUCAAUUCCAAAAUUAUAUAUUUAUUGUAUUUCUUUCCUUGUUUAGUGAGAGAUUGGUCGAAGAUGUGGAGGAUGAAGGAGUGAACAAUAGAGAGAGCGUGAUUCCUCCACGAAGCACCAAAGAGAACGAAGACCCGGCAGAGCACGAAGAUUGCGUGCAAGAUAAUCCUGGCCAUUCCAGGGAUAGAAAUACAUUGAAGAAAGUCGGGUCGUUCUUUAAGAGCAUGUGGAAACCCGUUAAGAGAUCCGUGCAGAAGGUGUGUAAAAUGGCCAGAAAUGGAGAAUGCGAGUAUGUUCGGUUCGAGUAAGGAUAUCUUUGCUUCCAUUGUCAAAUUCGACAAUAAGAUCUGCUCUGUGAUUUGCUGGAUCUGGGCCGAGUUGGCUAAUUAUAUGGUUUUUUCUGCAAACCAUCGAUGACUUCUCCUGAUUUUGACAUCCCGAUUGCGUCAAUGCCAAGUUCGAUUAUGACUUCCCAAUUUUGACUUUAUCCCGGCUGUGUCUCCUUAUUAUUGUCUUUUAGUCAAUUAUCAUUUACCCGAAUUGGUCUACACGAAUUUGGACUCUCGAUUUAUGUCUACUUCACGAAUCUGGACUCUCCCGAAUUACGUCUACCCCGAAUUUGACUCCUCAAUUGUGCCUGUACUCGAAUUGGACUCUCCCGAAUUAUGUCAACCCCGGAUUUGACUCAUGAAUGGUGUCUGCACUCGAAUAUGGACUCUCCCGAAUUACGUCUAUCUCGAAUUUGACUUCAGAAUCCUGUCUAUAUUGGAAUUUGGACUCUUCCGGCUUGUGUCUGUGCUCAAAUUUGACUCCCAAUUUUUGUCAUCCCUGGAACUUGGACUCUCCGGAAUUGUGUUUUAAUUUGUUAUUGGAACGACACGCUCAACAAAUUGAUAUUUGUUAUUCAGACACUAGUAAAAGGAUUAAUUGCAAAACAAAUUUUUUAUACAUAAAACGUUUGAUAAAUUAAUUGAUUAUUAAUAUAUUAAUUAAUAAUUUUAAUCUCAAUUAUAAAUUGUUGUAUAUUUAUAUUUGUAAAACAUUAAUAGUAAUUGUUACGGCCUAAUUAAGGCAUCCAAGCGAUAGUCGAGAGCUCUCGCACACAUUAAAAUAUGUGUUUGGACCUAUAUGUUAUUAAAAGUCUGUUUAAAAAUGCCUCGAUAACGAAUAAAACUUAUGUAAUUUGUAAAAACAUAAUGUUUGCAAAAAUAAA